rnacentral:rRNA from 1 species
UACGUAGGGGGCAAGCGUUGUCCGGAUUUAUUGGGCGUAAAGAGCGUGUAGGCGGCCUGAAAGGUCAGCUGUGAAAACUCGAGGCUCAACCUCGAGACGUCGGUUGAAACCAUCUGGCUAGAGUCCGGAAGAGGAGAGUGGAAUUCCCGGUGUAGCGGUGGAAUGCGCAGAUAUCAGGAAGAACACCCGUGGCGAAGGCGGCUCUCUGGGACGGUACUGACGCUGAGACGCGAAAGCGUGGGGAGCGAACAGG